AGUGAACGCUGGCGGCAGGCCUAACACAUGCAAGUCGAACGGCAGCACAGUAAGAGCUUGUUCUUACGGGUGGCGAGUGGCGGACGGGUGAGGAAUACAUCGGAAUCUACUUUUUCGUGGGGGCUAACGUAGGGAAACUUACGCCAAUACCGCAUACGACCUACGGGUGAAAGCAGGGGAUCUUCGGAUCUUGCGCGAUAGAUUGACCCGAUGUCGGAUUAGCUAGUUGGCGGGGUAAAGGCCCACCAAGGCGACGAUCCGUAGCUGGUCUGAGAGGAUGAUCAGCCACACGGGAACUGAGACACGGUCCAGACUCCUACGGGAGGCAGCAGUGGGGAAUAUUGGACAAAGGGCGCAAGCCUGAUCCAGCCAUACCGCGUGGGUGAAGAAGGCCUUCGGGUUGUAAAGCCCUUUUGUUGGGAAAGAAAAGCAGCAGGUUAAUACCCCGCUGUUCUGACGGUACCCAAAGAAUAAGCACCGGCUAACUUCGUG
rnacentral:rRNA from 1 species